CAACCCCUCAGGCCCCCCUUCCGGGGGCGGGCCUGGUGUUGGGGCUCGGCCGCUUCCCUGCGGCCGUCCCCUAAAUGCAGUGGCGGCCUCGCCGCAAUCCCUUGCGUAGUACUAUACCUCGCACUGGAGAGCGACGCGGCCACGCCGUAAAACCCCCAAUUUUCAAU
rnacentral:misc_RNA from 1 species